rnacentral:lncRNA from 1 species
CAAUUCUUAAGGCACCAGCCAUUGUUUUGCUCUGUCUGCCUGGAAAAGAAAGUAAACCCUUUCCUUUCCAAUCAAGACUCUGUUCUCAUUAUUUGGAUAGGCACAAAGUUCAGAGACCGACCUUUCAGUAACAUAGUCUUCUGCCAUGAGAUGAUGACAGGACCAAUGGAAAUCUGAACAGCUGUGGAACAAAGAGGAUGUGGUACAUCUAGAGGAAAACACCCAAACUAAGCAACCCCCGGACAUAGCCAACUCCAGCAAGCUGGAGUAUCAGCAAGGAGGAUUCCAUCAAAACUGCAAUCUGGUCCUGGUCCUUUUUCUCAGGAGGGGUACACUCUCUGAUGACAGUCAGAAAUUUAAAAACUAUUUUGAAUUUUUCCCUUUUUUGGUAAGUGGCAUUUUAAAAAAAAUUCUGACAUGAUACAUCAUGGUAGAAUUUGAUACAUCUGCCUUUCUUUGGUAAGGUGUUUGAAGAUCAAUAGUGAAAGAGUAAGUUGGACAGAAG